rnacentral:rRNA from 1 species
UACAGAGGUGGCAAGCGUUGUUCGGAAUUACUGGGCGUAAAGGGCGAGUAGGUGGCCAUCUAAGUCAGACGUGAAAUCCCCCGGCUUAACCUGGGAACUGCGUCUGAUACUGGACGGCUAGAGUAUGGGAGAGGAAUGUAGAAUUCCAGGUGUAGCGGUGAAAUGCGUAGAUAUCUGGAGGAACACCGGUGGCGAAGGCGGCGUUCUGGACUGCAACUGACACUGAGGAACGAAAGCCAGGGGAGCAAACGGG